UACGGAGGAUGCAAGCGUUAUCCGGAAUGAUUGGGCGUAAAGAGCUUGUAGGCGGUUUGUCGCGUCUGCUGUGAAAAUCCGGGGCUCAACCCCGGACUUGCAGUGGGUACGGGCAGACUAGAGUGUGGUAGGGGAGACUGGAAUUCCUGGUGUAGCGCUGGAAUGCGCAGAUAUCAGGAGGAACACCGGUGGCGAAGGCGGGUCUCUGGGCAACAACUGACGCUGAGGAGCGAAAGCGUGGGGAGCGAACAGG
rnacentral:rRNA from 1 species